AUCAGUUGCUUCUGAGGGUCCCAAAGACUAAAUGCAGCUCAGACGAGACCGUGCUUUUUCUGUGGCAGCUCCUAAGCUGUGGAACGAUCUGCCUCUGAGCAGAAGACAGGCCUCUUCUCUGGCUGUUUUUAAGUCCCUUCUUAAGACUCAUCUUUUUUCCUUGGAUUUUGGCACAAUUUGAGAGCACCUUGGUCCUGUCCGGUGCAUAAAGUGCUUCAUAAGUAAAGUUGGUAUGGUAUGGUCACUGCUCACAGUGAACAGCUGUCUCUCCAGCGCCGGGAUGAAGCGGUUGAGCUGUGAGAUGUUCAUGUGAGAGAGGGUCAUCUGUUCCUGGAGAGGCAGUGCUGCUGCUUUCUUGUCCCUCUGAGCUCUGUGGUUGAUACCCAGGGACAGGAUCAUACGCUCCACGUCCUCCGUCACUGGCGCCUUUUCAAACAGUUACCUGAGCAGAUAAUGGUUCGAUGGACCCACUGGUUAAGGAUGCUGCAGCUGGACCAGGAGGCCUCCCCCUGGUGGUGAAGGUGGGUCGUCGCUGUGUGCUGGCCUUCAGUCUCCUUUGCAGCGGCAUCAGUCUAGGCCUCAGUGAAGCCCACCGUCCGAUCUGGGAAGAGCUGGAGGCCUUGGAGGCUCUUGGCACUUUGAUAAAGUUGAGUCAAGACAGAAUACAGCAAGUAAAAUGGAACGUUUCGGUGAGGAAUCAACCUUCAUCAGGCAACUUGCUGUCUCAACUAACAAUCAGUUAGAAUGCACUUUCUGAUGUCCGGAUCCUGUCCAGGCUCUUCUCUAGCUCUUCUCUGCUCCAGGCUUAAAAUAUAUUUAUACCUUCCUCCAGUUAAACACGUCCUUGUCAAUCUUGAAACACUUCAGAGAUGCCUAGACCACAGCGUGAAAAAGAUUUCCCAUUUUUUUCCCUGCCGGAUUCUUCCACCAAGAAGAAAGCCAUUCCGAAGGAGCCAAGUCCGGCGGAAGCUAAUGCUAGCACCUCAGAGCUAACCAACCAAACAACUAUGGAGUUGAUCCUAUAUGUGAGGAACAUGAUGUUUUUGCACCAAUUAUGGAUAAUUAA